GUGCUGGUUCCUGAUGAGCCCAAUCUUAGCGGUAACAUUGGGUCUUCCCAUGGCCUAGCUCCGGGUUCGACUCCCGGUCAAUGCA